GAUGAACGCUGACAGAAUGCUUAACACAUGCAAGUCAACUUGAAUUUGGGUUUUUAACUUAGGUUUGGGUGGCGGACGGGUGAGUAACGCGUAAAGAACUUGCCUCACAGCUAGGGACAACAUUUGGAAACGAAUGCUAAUACCUAAUAUUAUGAUAAUAGGGCAUCCUAUAAUUAUGAAAGCUAUAAGCGCUGUGAGAGAGCUUUGCGUCCCAUUAGCUAGUUGGAGAGGUAACGGCUCACCAAGGCGAUGAUGGGUAGCCGGCCUGAGAGGGUGAUCGGCCACAAGGGGACUGAGACACGGCCCUUACUCCUACGGGAGGCAGCAGUGGGGAUUAUUGGACAAUGGACCAAGAGUCUGAUCCAGCAAUUCUGUGUGCACGAUGAAGUUUUUCGGAAUGUAAAGUGCUUUCAGUUGGGAAGAAAGAAAUGACGGUACCAACAGAAGAAGUGACGGCUAAAUACGUG
rnacentral:rRNA from 1 species